AAAAAAUGGUCAAAAACAUUUUUGUAUAUUACAGACUGAUGAUCUCACUAACAUUUUCAUCUUCCUGUUCUUGUUUUGUUGGUGCUCAUAGCCCUGUGUGCUGAGCGGUCAGUGUGUGCUCCUGUAGGUGCCUCCGUCCACAUGGCAACGCAGCUCCCCAAUUCCACCGACUUUACCACCUUCUACUGGAGAUUCCGUUCUGAGCUUAACUCAUCAGUGAACAUCGUGACAUAUAUGCAAACGUACGUUGACACGGUAGUCUCAGAGGUGUAUGGGGACAGAGUGGAGAUCAGUAAGGAAACCUUCUCUCUGACACUGAAGAAACUGCGCAAGACAGACAGUGGCAUCUACACAGCAGAGGCCAGUGGUCUGAAAGUUACAGACAUCACUAGAUACAACCUCACUGUCCUGGAUGCAGUGUCUCCGCCUGCUAGUGGGUCUGUGUGCCUGUUGAAGACAGUGUUGUGCACUGUAACACUGAUCCUGAUGUUGUCGGCAGUCAUCACUGUCCACAUCAGAGAGAGACUGCUCAAUAAGGAUCUUAGAAAAAUGACCAAUCUUAAAUAAAAUUAUUUAAACUCUCCACUCGCAGACCAGAUGGACAGACUUUGGUUAAAUACUCUUAUUUUAACAGCAAAACAUACAAAAAAUACAGUUAAACUGCAUUACACAUUUACAAUAAUUCAGCUUUAUUAUAUAUGUAUUUUUAUGUGUAUACACACACACCUUUUACAUUUUGAAUAAAAACUAUACAUAUACUAUGGCACGCAAUGUCCCAUGGAUGGUUUGGUGCUGCAGCAAUUUUCAGAAACGCCUCUUCGCAGUGCAUGGUCAUUAGACCAGAAGGAUGUGGUGCUGAAUGUUUCUGCAUUUUCUGCAAGUCGCUCUUGCUCUGAUAUUACAUUUUUGUUACAUCCUUGGGACUUUUUUUUGAGUUGGUCUUCGUGUUGUGAUGUUAGAAUUUGUUUUUCAGGUUACUCACAAGAGGGUGCACCAAGAACCAGUGAACUGUCGAGAUGACAUUGUCACAGAUACAGACGGUUAAAGGGACAAUUAAUGCCCUGUUAAAGAUCUGCAUCGCAAAUGUGUAGGCCCGGGGCGUCUUGUCCAGUAGACCCCUCGUGUGCCAUGGUAGACGCUGCUCUGUAUUGCUGUGUGUUGGUACAAUUACUGCCUGUGGUAGACUCUUUUUGAGAUUGAGGUGUUAAAGUUGACUGUCCUGUUUUUGUGUCUCUGGUUCUGUGAAUAGGGCCUUAUGAGCUAUCACUUGCUGUCCAGCUUGGCUCUUAGAUAGAGCCUUUGAGAUGUACCCGAUCUUUAGCGGCUUUGUGCACAAGGCCUCGAGUAAUUACAUGAAAUGCUUCUCUAUUAGCAGGAUUGAGUUGUUAUAGCCAGUGUCCACUGAGGACCACUAAGAGUUAUAUACAGUUAUUUGACUGUCAAUUAUUGAGUAUUGUUUUGUUUCUUAUUGUUUGGAGUCGUAGGGGUGGGUGCCAUGUUCUUUUUGCUUUGUUGUUGUAUUUAUGUUUUUGUGAUAAGGAGUUGAGGGAAGAGUGAUUGUAUUUAUUUUUUGUUUUGUUUUGUUUUAGGGAAGAAUGAUUGAAUCUUCUCUAGUAGAUUUGUUUUGUUUGUUGGGAUGGUGUAAAUCCCACCCUGAAGAAACACUCCAGUUUAGGUUUAGUUUAUGCUGUGUAUAUAUUCU
ensembl:lncRNA